CAGUAGCCGCGGUAAUACGAAGGGGGCUAGCGUUGCUCGGAAUUACUGGGCGUAAAGGGCGCGUAGGCGGCGCUCCAAGUUAGGCGUAAAAUUCCCGGGCUCAACCUGGGGACUGCGCUUAAGACUGGAGUGCUUGAGGAUGGAAGAGGGUUGUGGAAUUCCCAGUGUAGAGGUGAAAUUCGUAGAUAUUCGGAAGAACACCAGUGGCGAAGGCGGCUCACUGGACGCGUAUUGACGCUGAGGUGCGAAAGCGUGGAGAGCAAACAGGAUUAGAUACCCCUGUAGUCCCUGUCUCUUAUAC
rnacentral:rRNA from 1 species